rnacentral:misc_RNA from 1 species
UUUCCGUAGGUGAACCUGCGGAAGGAUCAUUAAAAAAUUGGACUCCAUUGGUGAGUUCAUUAAUAAUCCUACCCUUUGUGAAUUUGUUUGUUUGAAUAAUUUUUUUUCCAAAAAAAAUUAUUGAAUGUCUUUCCCUGUUUUGGUGGAGCUUGUAAAGUGAAACCAGGCAGGGGAAUGGCAAACAAUAAUUAUUUUUGAAAAAGACCUUUUUUAAAAUUAAACUUUUUGUAUUCAUUUGUCUAAAAUUAUUUUUAUAAUAUAAAAACAACUUUUGACAAUGGAUCUCUUGGUUCUCGCAACGAUGAAGAACGCAGCAAAAUGCGAUAAGUAGUGUGAAUUGCAGAAUACGUGAAUCAUCGAAUCUUCGAACGCAUAUUGCACUUUUUUAGUUUACUAAAAAGUAUGUCUGUUUGAGUAUCAGUAAAAUAUUCUCAUAAAAAAUUUAUUUUUUAUGGUUAUGGGUGUUUUACAACGAUAACAAGUUGUUUCACUUUAAAUUCUUUGUUAUCAAAAAAAUCAUUAAAAGCUAAUUUUAAAGAUUUUUUAAAAUUGGAUAAAACUUUCCCGUAAAAAGGAAUAACCUAAACAAUUUUAAAAAAUUAAAAUUGGUUUGAUUUUUCUUGAUUUAAAAAGGAAAAAAAAGUAAAAAUUAACUUGAUCUCAAAUCAGAUAAGAGUACCCGCUGAACUUAAGCAUAUCAAUAAGCGGAGGAAAAGAAACUAACUAGGAUUCCCUCAGUAACGGCGAGUGAAGCGGGAAGAGCUCAAAUUUGAAAUCUUCAAGGUUUUACCUUGACGAAUUGUAGUUUAAAGAAGUGUUUUCUGUUGGAGUUUUGGUAAAAGUUCUUUGGAAAAGGACAUCAUAGAGGGUGAGAAUCCCGUAUUUGACCAUUAUCUCCAGCUUUGUGAUACACUUUCAAAGAGUCGGAUUGUUUGGGAAUGCAGUCCAAAAUGGGUGGUAAAUUUCAUCUAAAGCUAAAUACUGGCGAGAGACCGAUAGCGAACAAGUACCGUGAGGGAAAGAUGAAAAGAACUUUGAAAAGAGAGUUAAACAGUACGUGAAAUUGUCAAAAGGGAAGCGUUUGACACCAGUGUUGUUUUCUCGAAAAUCAAUUAAAAGAGGCCGGAUUUUGUGUUGUAUUGACUUUAUCAGCUUUCUGCACUUUUUUCUUGUCUUUUUUAAUGCACUUUUCGUUUAACAAGUCAACAUCAAUUUCUUUGUUGUAAAAGGGUCAUUGGAAGGUGGCUUUCUUUUCGGAGAAAGUGUUUAUAGCCUUUGGCCUCUGCAAUCGGAGAGAUUGAGGUCUGCAGCGUAGAUCCUUCGGGGUUAGAUACAUUUGUGCUAAGUUAUAGCCUUUCAUAGACAACUUGUUGACUAUGAUCAGUCAUGUAGCUUACUCGCUUAUGCUAUUUUACCUACGCUUAGGAUGUUGAG